GGGGUUUAAUGCGUGAGGCAGAGUUCGCUUCGUCGUGUGACCAUAGACUAAAUAGUCGGACUUGUCUAUGGUGUGAAAAUACUUGUUAUGACCGAAUAGUGAAAAGUCUUGCCAUAUAAGGAUCUCACCUUAAUAGUGUUUUUUUUUUUAAAUGAACAUAGAAAUUUUGAAUAUAAAAAAUGUGGUUAUACACCAAUCAUAUCAUAAUUGACAUAACAGUUUUAAAACUAUUAUGCAAUUCCAUAAAAAGUACACAAAUAAGUUCUAAACUUGACUACGAAAAAAAACAUAAAAAAAAGGAAUCAAUGGCUAAAAAACCGUAUCUCUUAUAUUCAAAUAUCUAUGAAACUUCCUUACAAUGUUUCAUCCUUAAAUAGUGAGAAGCGUUACUUCUCCGUCUGAACUAGGCCUUAGUGUAAGUACUAUUUAUACUUAAUUUAUUUAUACUGUAAAGUCUAGGCUAUGCACCCAUCGACCAUUUUUCAUCCUAGUAUUAUUAGGGGAAUUACAAAAGAGUGACCGAAUUUUUCCUCGCAAAUUUUUCUUGACACAUAACUCUGAAGAUUGUUUUGUUUCGAUAUUGAUAGAGGGCAAAAAGUGUAUUUUUUCACGCCACUGUUCGGAAAUGUGGCAAUAGAUGGUCUAAAACCAAGCUGGAAAGUAGGCAAUAGCUGUAGCACCUGAACCACCACUACUACAAUGUUUCAUUGUUAUCAUCAACUGUCAUUGGUGACGGUUCGCUACAGCAAUGAGUAUCAUUUAAAACAUAAAAAUCAAUAAAAGGUCCUUUUCACCCAAAUUUUUCCUUCAAAAAUAAAAUUAGGUUAUUUAUAGGGCCAAAUUUCUUGUUUAAAAAAAAGAAAUGUCAAAACAAUUCAGUUCAUUUUUUUAACAAUUAUCCAUUCAGUUCACGCUUAAGGCGUUUUUUCCUUUGUAGCUGUUUGUGUUUUUUUUAGCAAAAACGCUUCUAAGUUUGGAGUCGGUUUGAAGCAAAUAACAGAAAAACGCCUCUUAAAAGUGAUAAAAAAGUAAAAAAGGCGGGAUCAUACUUACUGAAUUGGAUAGUGUAAAUUGUGUUUGACUAAAAAAUACAAGAAACACGUAUCUACGCUCGCUAUAAAAAUGAGUUCUUCUAGUGAAGAAAAUGAUAUUCUUACGCUGACGCCUACCGAAAUUCAAGAGACAGCACAGGCAGUGGCUAGUAAUUUGCUACCAGUAGUUAUGCAAAUGUUUUCUUAUUUCCUUGCAGUAGUCGUGAAAAGCACUAUGUAAUGCCUCGGCCGGAAACGCUGAAGAUGGACUCGUAUUAUUUGAGGGCCUCCACUGACGUGUCGGCCCUCAAACGCACUCGUCCAUCUUUUAGCGGUUUUCCGUCCUCUCCUACAAUGUACUAUUUCAUUCUUAUUUUACAUGUUCGUUUUAUUACUCCCAUAUAUAAUACACACUUCUGUAGGUACCUGUAGGAAACAAAAUAAUCCUUGGGACACUUAGUAGGUAUGCUUUUAAAAUGUUGCAUAUGACCCUUUGACAGUCCAUUAUAUGUUCUAUGCUUACAGAUGUGUAAGUGCAAAAAGUUUUCGGAAAGGAAACAAAGGAAGCUUUCAUUUUACAAAUGGACAAUUUCGAUUCCCAAUAUUCCCAUACAAAAAUACGAAGUCUUCGAAAUUAUUUAAUGUGGAAAUUUCGUAUUUUUGAAAUCUUUUCCACGGCACAUCAGUUAAAUGCUUACCUACUUUAUGGGAGUAAAAAAAAUGCUUUUCGAAAAUCGCGGGCACUUUUUUGUAAAUCCCCACAAGGCGUGUAUGGGUUAGAGCGGGCUCAGCGUACAUGCCUGACGCAACCUGUGAUAUGUAUAAGCGACGCCCUUCUGCUUCGUUGAUGCUUUUAUAGUGCCGUAGUUAACUGGUUACUAUUAGGAACCUGAGUUAUUCGCAGCUCACACGAGAUUCAAAUAAGUCAGGCAUUUUCAUCAGUAUAGAGCACAGUCUACAGAUGUAGUGAACAAUUCUUUGACAUCGUAUUCUCUCGGACACGUUGAACCUUAAAACUACCACGAUACAGCCGCUUUUUAAACGACAUUGUUGCUUUGGCACGCGCUCAACUCGGUAGGCCACCGCUCGCACAAAAGUACCAAUGGCUUUUGUUUAACAGAUUGGGUCUUAAACGUAAAAAUCAUUUGAGAAAAUUCAUACUUUAUUCGUCAUCCUACUUCAAUUAACCUCAGUACCUACUUUUUAGGGUUCCGUACCUCAAAAGGAAAAAACGGAACCCUUAUUGUACUGAGACUGACUGAAAUAACACGUUAAAGUGCGUUUUCGUGAAAAUACGAUGGUAAAGGAGUAUUCACUACAUCUGUACAUAAAACACCACUGAAUGCUGCCAUUUAAUGAUAGAAAUGCUUGUCAAGUACCUACACGAAAAUUAAGCAUAAAGUCAAAAGAUUCUAAGGCCGUCUAUUCACGGGUGGUGCAACCGAUUGCGGUAAUUCCGGUCGAGUACAUAAAUAUGCAUAAUUUUUUUCACCUUAUUGCAAUGGAUUAAGGUGAACAAAUGUGUACAUAUUUAUGAACUCAACUGUGACUAAACCACGGUCCUUUGGGACGGCUACUUUCUACCGGUGUCAGGUUAGCCGUUGCAAAAAGUCGAAGACUCCGUUUUGCUAUUUCACUUAACAUUUUUAACGCGGAGUAUAUGUCGCAAAAUACCGUGAAAACGGGUAUUAAAAAGUUAAAAUUGGCGAGCGAGAAGUUUUAAGGUUCUGUAGCAAAACUACCGUUUUGGGCACAAAAGCUUUGUAUUUAUAUUCUUAUAGCACGUUUGACCAAUGGGAUUUCAGAUGUUUCUGCUGCCUUCCAGCGUUUUUGUAUGAAUCAAGUAUUAAUAUAAUCCAUUUACUUUAAGUAGAACUUGUUUGUAAGGAUAUAAUUAUUGUUACAAAUGUAAAAGUACCGUUCAAUUUUUAUAUUAGACCCCGUUUUCUUUCACUGCAAUGUCGGCGAGUUUUUAAAUGAGCAUUUAAUAAUAAGUAGAAAGAUCCUGUAGAUAAAUUUAUUCAUAGCAUUUUUCUGGAUUUUUUAUAGUUUUCAUGGUCAAGAGAUGGAAAUUGGAUCAGAGAUGGGUCCAAAUGUAAGGAUGUAUAUAGUUGGUCAAGCAGAUCUUGUCAGUAGAAAAAGGCGGCAAAUUUGAAAAAUGUAGGCGCGAAGGGAUAUCGUCUCAUAGAAAAUUUGAAUUUCGCGCCCUUUUCUACUGACAAGAUUUGCUUGACCAUCUAUAGUUUACCUUUUAAUAUGCUUUUUUAAGUAUGUAAAUGCAUUUCUUACCAAAUAAAGAUUCAUUAAGUUUUGAACUGAAGAUAUAAAGAAUAAUAGUUAUAAAGUAGCACUGUGAAUCAUUUCUGUGAUAUUUUAUUUUGAUUGUGAUGCUUAUUUAUUAUUCUGUUUUUUAUAGGUUUGACAUGUUUUUA